AAACACUGGAAGGACUUGGAAGGACACCUAUGCCAACCAAGCACACUCAGGGCUUGUAUCUGGCUGGUUACGGAUCUCAGAGAGGUAUCGUCAUUGACUUCCUGAACAUCUUCUCUGAGGGGUCCAACCGAGUGAGAUGCUUUGGGAUCUCACAGGUGCAGAAAGGAGCUGCAGGACCAGCAAGGCUCCCAGACAGCACACGGCUCUGGAUUGCACUGGAACAUCAUUUCUGACUGACACCAGAUGGCUCUGUCCUUCCAUAUCUCCAGAGGCAUCUCUCCUUCUGUUGUUUGGCCUAAGGAUGUUUGAGGUCUUCUGUUUUCUUCCCCAGAGUGAGUAUGUGGAGGGUGUUAGAGGCCAGAAAACAGGAAAGGUGGGUGAGGAGAGGCCAGGGAUGCAUUAGCAUCCUUGAAAUAUGUAGCUUUUAGCCUGGGGCUACAAUCACUGACUGACACAAGGGAAGCUGUUUUUUCCAUUUCAG
rnacentral:lncRNA from 1 species